GACGAACGCUGGCGGCGUGCUUAACACAUGCGAGUCGAACGGAAAGGCCCUGCUUGCAGGGUACUCGAGUGGCGAACGGGGGAGUAACACGUGGGUGAUCUGCCCUGCACUUCGGGAUAAGCCUGGGAAACUGGGUCUAAUACCGGAUAGGAGCCAUUUUUAGUGUGAUGGUUGGAAAGUUUUUUCGGUGUAGGAUGAGCUCGCGGCCUAUCAGCUUGUUGGUGGGGUAAUGGCCUACCAAGGCGGCGACGGGUAGCCGGCCUGAGAGGGUGGACGGCCACAUUGGGACUGGGAUACGGCCCAGACUCCUACGGGAGGCAGCAGUGGGGAAUAUUGCACAAUGGGCGCAAGCCUGAUGCAGCGACGCCGCGUGGGGGAUGACGGCCUUCGGGUUGUAAACUCCCUUCGCUAGGGACGAAGCUUUUUGUGACGGUACCUAGAUAAGAAGCACCGGCUAACUACGUG
rnacentral:rRNA from 1 species